rfam:Schistosoma curassoni strain Dakar, Senegal genome assembly, scaffold: SCTD_contig0000150
AUUCAGCUGACGAGUCUCAAAUAGGGCGAAAUGCUCGUCAAACUGAAU